ACUGGUGUAGCUCAGUUGGUUAAAGUGUGUGGCUUUUAAACCACAAGGUCGAAGGUUCAAGCCCUUCCACUAGCA